rnacentral:rRNA from 1 species
GUUAAGUCCCGCAACGAGCGCAACCCUUAUCCUUUGUUGCCAGCGGUCCGGCCGGGAACUCAAAGGAGACUGCCAGUGAUAAACUGGAGGAAGGUGGGGAUGACGUCAAGUCAUCAUGGCCCUUACGACCAGGGCUACACACGUGCUACAAUGGCGCAUACAAAGAGAAGCGACCUCGCGAGAGCAAGCGGACCUCAUAAAGUGCGUCGUAGUCCGGAUUGGAGUCUGCAACUCGACUCCAUGAAGUCGGAAUCGCUAGUAAUCGUGGAUCAGAAUGCCACGGUGAAUACGUUCCCGGGCCUUGUACACACCGCCCGUCACACCAUGGGAGUGGGUUGCAAAAGAAGUAGGUAGCUUAACCUUCGGGAGGGCGCUUACCACUUUGUGAUUCAUGACUGGGGUGAAGUCGUAACAAGGUAACCGUAGGGGAACCUGCGGUUGGAUCACCUCCUUACCUUAAAGAAGC